UAAACAUCAACUUUUGAUUACUUUAACUUUUUCUUAUAUAUAGGAUCUGAGGGAAUAUUUUGAUUAAUAAUACGAAUUUUGAACUGGUUUAAUGUGAAAUUAUUAUUUAUGAAAAAGGACUAUCUUAUCUUAUGUUAAAAAAUGAAACUAGAAUCAAAAUCAACACUUUAAAGAUUCAUUUGGUUUCAGUUUCCAGCUUUUUAUUUUUCUACUUAAAUUUCAUUUACCAUGUGUUGUUGCAGUGCCAGUGUUUCUGAAAACUCAAGAUCUUGAAAGGCAAUGCUGUAUCUGAGAAGUGAGAGAGAAUCAAUCAACAUCAUGCAGAAGAUGAUUUCAGAGGCUUAAGCUGUCAAUGCUAUUUGUACAAUCAUAGGUUGGAGUUGUGAGAGCUUAUAAAACAUGGCAUCUUCAUGGGAACAUUUUGGCGAGAUUGCAAAUGUGGCUCAAUUAACAGGCUUAGAUGCUGUGAAGUUGAUUGGAAUGAUUGUUAAAGCUGCGAAUACAGCAAGGAUGCAUAAGAAGAAUUGUAGGCAGUUUGCACAACAUCUUAAGUUAAUUGGAAACUUGCUUGAUCAGCUGAAGAUCUCAGAGCUUAAGAAAUAUCCCGAAACGCGAGAGCCUCUAGAACAACUAGAAGAUGCCUUGAGAAGGUCUUACAUUUUGGUCAAUAGUUGUCAGGAUCGUAGCUAUCUUUAUUUGCUCGCCAUGGGGUGGAACAUUGUUUAUCAAUUUAGGAAGGCUCAGAAUGAAAUUGAUAGAUACUUGCGACUUGUUCCUCUCAUUACUCUAGUCGACAAUACUCGUGUCAAUACUCGAGUCAGGGAGAGACUUGAAGUUAUUGAAAAGGAUCAAUGUGAAUACACAUUGGAUGAUGAGGAUCAAAAGGUGCAAACUGUGUUUCUAAAACCAGAACCUAACAAAGAGGACACUGUAGUGUUGAAGAAAACUCUUUCAUGUACUUACCCUAACUUUUCUUUCACCGAAGCACUUAAAAAAGAAAACGAAAAGCUUCAACUAGAGUUACAACAUUCACAAGCAAAUAUGGAUAUAAAUCAGUGCGAGUUCAUUCAACGUUUACUAGAUGUCACGGAAGUCGCUGCUUAUUCUCUUCCGGAGAAGUUAUCACCUGAAAAUAGUCACAAGAAAGUAGAAUACAUUAGCCAAAGUUAUUCCGACGCCAAUGGCAGCAAAGGUCAUUCUUCUGAUGAAAAACAUCGAAAAAGCAGUGAUACUCUUCCAGCAUCAAGAUCCUCAGUUUCAGAAAAGGAUUUGCGGUCAACUAGAAGUUCAUAUCAGCAGGAAGAUUGGCAUACUGAUUUACUUGCUUGUUGUUCUGAACCUUAUCUUUGUAUAAGGACAUUCUUCUAUCCAUGUGGGACAUUUUCAAAGAUUGCUACUGUUGCAACCAAUAGACCAAUAUUGUUUUUUCAGCUUCUGCAGAAGGAGGCUAUGUUGAUGAUUUUCUUUCUCAUUUGAUGUGUUGCUGCUGUGCCCUUGUGCAAGAAUGGCGAGAAGUACAAAUCCGUGGCUUUUAUGGUCCUGAGAAGACUAACACUAGCCCUCCAACCCCGCAGUACAUGGAAUCAUCUUAAAUAACAAAUUAGUUUGUUUUAGGGGGUAAAUACUAAAUACCGUGUUAAAUAUAGACAGUUGGCUAUUGAAUUUUAUUCUCACACUGCUUGGUAACAGUUAACUAUAUCUAAAGUAGCUUUCUAUUUUUUAUGUGCUAAAAGAAGUAGCUUUUAGUGUUUGCCUGAUAUAAUGUACUGUAAUGUAAUUGAGAAUGGGAUAAAUUUCUGUAAAGCAUUGGAGUCUGAAA